ACGUGGGAGCGCGGGCUCACAUGACUGGCCGCGCGAUGGACCCGCUGCCGGCGGCUGCAGUCGGGGCGACAGCUGAGGCGGAGGCUGACGAGGAGGCGGAUCCCCCGGCGGCAGAUCUGCCGACACCCCAGGCCAUCGAGCCCCAGGCCAUCGUGCAGCAGGCCCCAGCCCCCAGUCGAAUGCAGAUGCCGCAGGGGAACCCGCUGCUGCUGUCCCACACCUUGCAGGAGCUGCUGGCCAGGGACACCGUGCAGGUGGAGCUCAUUCCGGAGAAGAAGGGCCUCUUCCUGAAGCAUGUGGAGUAUGAGGUUUCCAGCCAGCGCUUCAAGUCCUCGGUGUACAGACGGUACAACGACUUCGUGGUCUUCCAGGAGAUGCUCCUGCACAAGUUCCCCUACCGUAUGGUGCCUGCCCUGCCACCCAAGAGAAUGCUGGGAGGUAAAGCCGGGUGUGCUGCCCACCGGGGGUGGAGGGAGCGAGCCCAUCUCCUGGACCCUGUGGUCCUGGCUCAGGGAUGGACUCCACUGUAGACUGGGGCAGGUGCAGGGCUGCGGGGAAACUCCAGCCUUUUGGCAUCUGGGGCAGAGCU
rnacentral:sRNA from 1 species